rnacentral:tRNA from 1 species
GCCCAGGUGGUGAAAUUGGCAAACACGCUAGGUUCAGGGUCUAGUGCCCGCAAGGGCUUGGAGGUUCGAGUCCUCUCCUGGGCA